GAUGAACGCUAGCUACAGGCUUAACACAUGCAAGUCGAGGGACCGGCGCACGGGUGAGUAACACGUAUCUAACCUGCCCUUUACUCGGGGAUAGCCUUUCGAAAGAAAGAUUAAUACCCGAUAUAAAGGCUGGGGAUGCGUUCCAUUGGGUUGUUGGUGAGGUAACGGCUCACCAAGCCUUCGAUGGAUGGGGGGUCUGAGAGGAAGACCCCCCACAUUGGAAAUGAGACACGGUCCAAACUCGUACGCGAGGCAGCAGUGAGUAGUACUGGUCAAUGGGCGCUAGCCUGAACCAGCCAAGUAGAGUGAAGAAUGAAGGCUUAUGAGUCGUAAACUUGUUUUAUAUAAGAAUAUGUAUUAUAUGAAUAAGGAUCGGCUAACUCCGUGCCAGCAGCCGCGGUAAUUC
rnacentral:rRNA from 1 species